rnacentral:rRNA from 1 species
UACGUAGGGUGCAAGCGUUAAUCGGAAUUACUGGGCGUAAAGCGUGCGCAGGCGGUUGUGUAAGACAGAUGUGAAAUCCCCGGGCUUAACCUGGGAACUGCAUUUGUGACUGCACAGCUGGAGUGCGGCAGAGGGGGAUGGAAUUCCGCGUGUAGCAGUGAAAUGCGUAGAUAUGCGGAGGAACACCGAUGGCGAAGGCGAUCCCCUGGGCCUGCACUGACGCUCAUGCACGAAAGCGUGGGGAGCAAACAGG